rnacentral:rRNA from 1 species
UACAGAGGGGGCAAGCGUUGUUCGGAAUUACUGGGCGUAAAGGGCGCGUAGGCGGCCUGUUAAGUCGAACGUGAAAUCCCCGGGCUCAACCCGGGAACUGCGUCCGAUACUGGCAGGCUUGAAUCCGGGAGAGGGAUGUGGAAUUCCAGGUGUAGCGGUGAAAUGCGUAGAUAUCGGAAGGAACAUCAGUGGCGAAAGCGACUUCCUGGACCAGUACCGACGUUCAGGCACGAAAGCGUGGGGAGCAAACAGG